CAUGUCCUUUCUGUCAUACACGGUGGAUAGCUGCCCACUGUUGUAGCUCCGCGUUAUAGCACCACCAAACAACUCAGUUAUUUUUUCCACAUCCAGCUGUAACUCCGAUUCUGUGCGAGCAUUUGCGAGAGACCGGGGAGGUGAAACGACAGAGAGAGUCCCCUCGCUAUCCAUUUGCAGCCAAGUGCGGCAGCUAGCUAGGUAGCCGGCUAGCUGUCAGGCAGGACCGACGUCGUCAGAGCACUGUCGCUAAAUAUGGGAUGUCUUGAUAAAACAAGCAGAUAUUUGAAGUUUACACACCUACAUUCUCGCCUGAAAAUAUCUUAAAAGUUUAUUUUGUGACCUAGAAACACG
ensembl:lncRNA